rnacentral:rRNA from 1 species
UUUUUUUUUAAAUUAAAAUUUAAAAUGGAUUUCUAUAAUUUUAUAGUCGAAGAAGGUCGUAUUUUAAAACGAAAAUUUAUAUUUUUAUAUAUAAAGUUACCGAAUAUGUUGAACAUUUUUAAUAUUUUUAUUUAAAAAUAAAAAUAAGUAUAUUUUAGGAACUGAAUCAUCUUAGUACUAAAAUAAAUAUAAUGUAACAACGAUUUUCUUAGUAGCGGCGAGUGAAAAGGAAAUAUUUAUGAAUAUUUGAUUUUAUAUCAUUGUAAAAUUAAAAUAUUUAUGUUAAGUUUUUAAUAUGUAAAGUAAAUUUGUGUUUUAUUUGAUUUUUAUUUUUAGAACCAUCUUAAAAACUUUAAAUAAUAUAAAAUUUUAUAGAGAACUAGUAUCGUGAGAGAAAGAUGAAAAGAUUUUUGAAUAAAAAAGUGAAAAGAACAUGAAAUUUUAAAUUUUAUAAUUUUUAUUCAAUUUAAAUUUACAAAUUAUAAUUUAAUUGAAUGCUUGUUGAAGAAUGAGUCGGUGAGUUAUAAUUAUUAAAUAAAUAAAUUUAUUAAGAUUUAUUGUAAUAAGAGUUGAAGCGAGUUUUAAUCACUUUAAAAACUAUUUUAAUUUAAUAAUUAUAGAUCCGAACCCAAAUGAUCUAAUUAUGUUCAGAAAUUAUAUUGUAAUGAUAUAAUGUUCGAACCAGUUAAUAUUUCAAAAUUAUUGGACGAAAUGUAAUUAGUGGUGAAAUGCUAAUCGAAUUUGGAGCUAGCUGAUUCUCUCUGAAAUGUAUUUAGGUACAGAUUAAUGUUAAAAACGAAAUGUAUAGCUCUAUAUUAUAUCGUAGUAAUUUUAAUAGUUAUUAUAGAUAUUUAAUAAACUGUAAAUUAUCGUUUCUACUUAAUUAUUAAAAUUUAAUAAUAAGUAAAAUAUAAUAUAUUAAAUUGAGACUAUUAGGGUUAAGCUUAAUAUGUCAAAAGGGAAACAGCCCAGAUUAUUUAAUAAGGUCUUAAAAUGUAUAUUUAGUAAAAGAUAGUUUAAUUAUAAAGACAUCUUAAAAUAUAAGCUUUUAAGCAGCUAUUAUCUAAGGAGUGCGUAAAAGCUCAUUAUUAUAUGUUUUUAAACAUCUAAAAUAAUAUAGACUAAGUUAUAUAACCUAACCUGUAAAGUAAAUAUUUUUACAUAUUUAUCUAGUAAGAGAGCGUUUUAUUUAUCUAUAAAUAGUUUAUAUUCAAAUAUAAAUGAAAAAUUAUAAAUAAAAGUGAUAAUGCCGAUUUAAGUAAUAUAAUAUUAGAUAUAAUCUAAUACUCCUAUUGUUUAUAGAUUUCCUAUUAUAUGAUUUAAUCAAAUAGGGUUAGUCGAAGUCUAAGAGUAAAAUUUUAUUUUAUUCGAUGAAGAUUAAAUAUUAAUGUUUUAUUUAAAUUUCUAUAUUAAAUAUUUAAAAUUUUUAUAUAAAGUUUUAGUAUGUAACAAAUAUUAAAUAGAAAUACUUAUUUUAAAAAAUUAUUUAAUUAUAUUCGUAUUAAAUCUGAAACAAGUGAACAAGUAGAAAAUAUACUAAGGAGAUGAAUAACUUUUCUUUAAGGAACUAGGCAAAAUGAUUCCGUAACUUCGGGAUAAGGAAUACAAUGAGUGUAAAAUACUAGGUUCAAACGACUGUUUAUCAAAAACACAGGCUUUUGCUAAAUUUAAUAAUGAUGUACAAAAGCUGAUGCCUGUCCAGUUCUAGUAAGUUAACAAAAAAUAUUAAUUGUGAUAUAUUUUUAUAAGCUCUAGUAAAACGACGGCUGUAUUUUUAACGGUCCUAAGGUAGCGUAACCCCUUGCCGGGUAAGUUCCGGCCCGCAUGAAAGGCGUAACGAUUUGAACGCUGUCUUAAAGAAAUAUUCAAUGAAGUAAUAAUGUCUGUGAAGAUACGGACUAUUUACACCAGGACAGAAAGACCCUAUGAAGCUUUACUAUAGUUUAUUAACGAAGACAAAUAUUAAAUUAUGCAGAAUAAAUGGUUUUAAAAUAUUAAAAAUUUUUUAAUAUUUUUUGAUAUAUGAAAUACCAUUUUUUUAAUAUUAAUUUUCUAAUAAUUUUAAUAUAAAUAUUUAGUUAAAUUUAAUUUUAAACUUGAUAGUUUGACUGGGGCGGUCCCCUCCCAAAUAGUAACGGAGGAUAACAAAGGUUAUUUGUUAUUGUCUAAAUUGACAAUAAAAAUAUUAAAAGAUGUUUAAUAGCUUAACUGUUAAAUAAACAUAUUAUACAGUAACGAAAGUUUGUCUUAUUGACCCUAUAAAUAUUAUUUAUGGAUAUUUUAUAGAUCAACGGAUAAAAGUUACUCUAGGGAUAACAGGCUGAUCUCUCCUAAAUGUUCAAUGACGGGGAGGUUUGGCACCUCGAUGUCGGCUUAUCGCAUCCUGAGGAUGAGAAGUUCUCAAGGGUUGGUUUGUUCACCCAAAACAGCGGUACGUGAGCUGGGUUCAGAACGUCGCAAGACAGUUUGGUCCAUAUCCGGUGUAAAUUAAUAGAACAUUGUGAUGAUUUUUUGUGGUACGCAAGGACUAGGAAAAUUACAUAAAUGGUGUAACAGUUAUUUUAAAAAUUUUAUUUUUUAAAGUAUUUUGUUGUUAAGCUAAAUGUGAAAAGAAUAUAAUCGCUGAAAGCAGAUAAGCGAGAAUAUUAAUUUAAAUAUGUUCUAUAAUUUUAAUUGAUUUAAGAUGUUAUUUAUAUAAUAAAUAAUAUAAAAUAUAAAUAUAAGCUUACAUAUCGAAAGAUAUUAAACUUUAUAUUUAUAAUAUCGAUAAUUUUAU